CCCGCUGAGUUUAAGCAUA
rnacentral:snRNA from 1 species